rnacentral:rRNA from 1 species
GGGACACGUGGUAUCCUGUCUGAAUAUGGGGGGACCAUCCUCCAAGGCUAAAUACUCCUGACUGACCGAUAGUGAACCAGUACCGUGAGGGAAAGGCGAAAAGAACCCCGGCGAGGGGAGUGAAAAAGAACCUGAAACCGUGUACGUACAAGCAGUGGGAGCACCUUCGGGUGUGACUGCGUACCUUUUGUAUAAUGGGUCAGCGACUUAUAUUCUGUAGCAAGGUUAACCGUAUAGGGGAGCCGCAGGGAAACCGAGUCUUAACUGGGCGUUAAGUUGCAGGGUAUAGACCCGAAACCCGGUGAUCUAGCCAUGGGCAGGUUGAAGGUUGGGUAACACUAACUGGAGGACCGAACCGACUAAUGUUGAAAAAUUAGCGGAUGACUUGUGGCUGGGGGUGAAAGGCCAAUCAAACCGGGAGAUAGCUGGUUCUCCCCGAAAGCUAUUUAGGUAGCGCCUCGUGAACUCAUCUUCGGGGGUAGAGCACUGUUUCGGCUAGGGGGUCAUCCCGACUUACCAACCCGAUGCAAACUACGAAUACCGAAGAAUGUUAUCACGGGAGACACACGGCGGGUGCUAACGUCCGUCGUGAAGAGGGAAACAACCCAGACCGCCAGCUAAGGUCCCAAAGUCAUGGUUAAG